rnacentral:lncRNA from 1 species
ACAUGGGAAUUCAAGAUACAAUUCAAGAUGAGAUUUGGGUGGGGACAUAGCCAAACCAUUAUCACCCACCCCUAACACCCCUGUUUGCUUCUAGACCUAUAACAAUAGACUCAGGUCCCAGCAGGCCCCUAGAGGUGAGGUUCAGAGUGUGACCCAUGAGGAGGGGCACUACGCUCCAAAAUAACUGCUGUAUCAGAUGUGGUUUCAUUGCUUGAGCAAAUUCACAUAUCUCCUGGUACCUGGUGGGCAGCCAUUAAUUUGGCAAAUGCCUUUUCUCCAUUCCUGUCCAUAAGGCCCACCGGAAGCAAUAUGCCUUCAGCUGGCACGGCCAGCAAUAUACCUUCACUGUCCU